rnacentral:rRNA from 1 species
GAUUUGAAGAGCUUGCUCAGAUAUGACGAUGGACAUUGCAAAGAGUGGCGAACGGGUGAGUAACACGUGGGAAACCUACCUCUUAGCAGGGGAUAACAUUUGGAAACAGAUGCUAAUACCGUAUAACAAUGACAACCGCAUGGUUGUUAUUUAAAAGAUGGUUCUGCUAUCACUAAGAGAUGGUCCCGCGGUGCAUUAGCUAGUUGGUAAGGUAAUGGCUUACCAAGGCGAUGAUGCAUAGCCGAGUUGAGAGACUGAUCGGCCACAAUGGGACUGAGACACGGCCCAUACUCCUACGGGAGGCAGCAGUAGGGAAUCUUCCACAAUGGGCGAAAGCCUGAUGGAGCAACGCCGCGUGUGUGAUGAAGGGUUUCGGCUCGUAAAACACUGUUGUAAGAGAAGAAUGACAUUGAGAGUAACUGUUCAAUGUGUGACGGUAUCUUACCCAGAAAGGAACGGNUUAAUACCUNCCACCAGGCCCCG